AUAUACCCGAUCCGUUGAUCCUUGUAGUAAACCGAACCUUCCACGUUAUCGUAAUGAAAUCCGAUGUGCUGGUUCGAAUUCCGCGCUGUUACAUUGAAUGUUAUCUCGGCAUUCUCAAAACCAUUGGCUUGACUCAAAGCCGGAACCGAAAAAUCGUGGAUGUGGAUCCGGGGCCGAUGCGGGCGCAAGCUAAGCCAUACAAUGAAAGCAACAAUACCAGAAACGAGAAGAAUGAUCAAGAAAAUGGCACAUAUAAGCUUGGAGACGCGGGUGGUGAGGCUUUCACGGACCCGCUGGGCAUAGUAGCGAGCGGUGUGGCGAUGCUUGAUGAACGGAUCUUCCUGGCCGGAGGGGUUCAUUUCCAAAAUUGGAUGAAAGAAUUUCUAGAGAGCGUUGGUUGGAUUUGUUUCUUUUUAAGUAGUGAAGAAGCUAGGUGGAGAAGAGAAGAGGGAAGAUAAGGAAUAUGUAGGAUAUUUU
rnacentral:misc_RNA from 1 species